rnacentral:lncRNA from 1 species
CACAGCCAAGGAGGAAGGCCGGCGGGCCUGACCUGGGAAUGGAGGCACAACUUGCUGCAGGUCUCAGUAGGGAAGUCAGGACUGAGGGGGCCACAGGUACCCAGGAACAGGUGGGGCCUGGAGGCUGUGCUGAGCGCGUCCCUGCAAACGGCGUGAAAGGGAACACACCUGAGCGCGAAUCUGGGCUGAACUCUUCACCUCGCCACCUUUACAUCGCAUGCACCACAUUUCCAAGCUACAGAUCUGUUAGCAUCCAAUGGCAAAGCCCUGACUCCAACUCCGUGCCACCACCACAAGGGGACAGCACUGCAGCCAGCCUGCCUGGGACACUGAGCCCCACUGCGUGUACAGGGUGCCCCUCUGCCUGCCGCUUCCAACCUAUUAAGCGGGUUUAGAAACACCGCAUGUGUCGGGGGAUCUGCAGUCCUUGCUCAGCCCCUCUUGCUCCCAGGUCCCACAUGGUGAGAGACUCAGCAAACGCCAACCUGGGCGUCCACAUCACUGGCUGACUUCACUGUGGAAAAUUAUAAAGCAGUGUAAGUGUAACAACAGUUGGUGUUCUUAUGCCUUCUUUUGUCAUUUAUACCUUCCUCUUAUUUGCCGUUACUUUAGGAUUCCUUUCCCUAUAAUAAUUUCCUAGGCACGCACCUGCCUUCCUGUUCACCCAGGCUCCUCUACCUUUGCUGGGAGGUGUCCGUCACUCUCCGAUUCUGCUGUGGACGCCGUCCAGGCCCUGAGCAGCACCCUGUGCCAGAGGAACUUGAGAACAGCAGAUCCAAUCCCACACCUGCCAGCCAAGACCCGGGGAAGGGAGGAGACUGCGCCCAUUGUCAGUGAACUCGCCUUCAUGCAAACAUCUCACAGACUCGGUCAUUUCUUCAGGUCAGCACUACAUUAACAGGACAGCUUCGUGUCUUCAUAAGGCAUUUCAAAAACUUAACAAACAACUAUUAUGAUUCUUAAAAGCACAGGACAAAUGUCUUCAUGGGGUAUGAUUUCAAAAUAUAGUGAAUGCUGCUGCUGAGCUCCAUCCAGUGGGAAGGCAGCCUUAUAAAACAUGACGCACUGGCCUCAUCCAGUUUAUUCACAGGACCUGGCCCCAUGCAACUUCCCGGCUCUUCUGCAAAGUCAAAAUGACCAUGAAGGGUGUUUUAUAUCAAUUCAGGACACUGAGGAAGCCAGGACAGAGCAACUAAAGACACUUCCAAAAGGACUUCCAGAACUGCUUCAGAAAAUGACCAGAAUGAUGGGAUAAGUGUGUUCAAAGUGAGGGUCGAGUAUUUUGAAAGAAACGAAUUAGCAGUGUUUUUGACUCUAAUAAUUAUUUUAAAUUUAAAAUUCACUAUUUUUCCAUCAUACCUCAUAAUACUUAACUUGUGGCCAUGUACAUUUUGUACAUUUAUUUGCAAGAUUUCAAGUUAGGAGACUGAGCUCCCAUGUUUCGUCUGUACUAAUCAGGAAAUGAUGGGAUGGAAAUACCUCGGCCAGCCAAGGUUCUGUGGUGUAACAGUGGAGGGUGGCUGAAAAGGACACGGAACCACAGUCACCAGAUCCUAGAGCAGAACAUCGGACACGCUGUACAUCCCAACACUCCACUGACCAACACGCGGUAGUGGGAAUCAGCCCUUUAUUUUGGUGUGUGUUUGAAAAAUUAAAUAAAACACUAAAUAUUAAAC